rnacentral:rRNA from 1 species
GACGAACGCUGGCGGCGUGCUUAACACAUGCAAGUCGUACGGUAAGGCCCUUUCGGGGGUACACGAGUGGCGCACGGGUGAGUAACACGUGAGUAACCUGCCCACAACUUUGGGAUAACGCUAGGAAACUGGUGCUAAUACUGGAUAUGUGCUCCUGCUGCAUGGUGGGGGUUGGAAAGCUCCGGCGGUUGUGGAUGGACUCGCGGCCUAUCAGCUUGUUGGUGGGGUAGUGGCCUACCAAGGCGGCGACGGGUAGCCGGCCUGAGAGGGUGACCGGCCACAUUGGGACUGAGAUACGGCCCAGACUCCGACGGGAGGCAGCAGUGGGGAAUAUUGCACAAUGGGCGCAAGCCUGAUGCAGCAACGCCGCGUGCGGGAUGACGGCCUUCGGGUUGGAAACCGCUUUCAGCAGGGACGAAGCUUUUUGUGACGGUACCUGCAGAAGAAGCACCGGCUAACUACGUG